rnacentral:rRNA from 1 species
GACGAACGCUGGCGGCGUGCCUAACACAUGCAAGUCGAGCGAAGCGGCGAACGGGUGAGUAACGCGCGAGGAACCUGCCUCUCACAACGGGAUAGCCUCGGGAAACCGGGAUUAAUACCGAAUGGUGAGUGAUGGCGUCGCGUCGGAUUAGUUAGUUGGUGGGGUAACGGCGUACCAAGACGAAGAUCCGUAACCGGCCUGGGAGGGUGAACAGUCACAUUGAGACUGGGACAAGGGCCCAACUCCUACGAGAGGCAGCAAUGUGGAAACUAGCACGAUGGGGGGAACCCUGAUGCAGCGCGGCCGCGAGAGCGAUGAAGGGUUUCGAAACGUAAAGCUCUGACCUAUGUGAAGCGGUACCACAGAAGAAGGCCCCGGUUAACUACGUGCAAGCGGCGGCGGUAAUU